rnacentral:rRNA from 1 species
UACGUAGGUGGCGAGCGUUAUCCGGAUUUAUUGGGUUUAAAGGGUGCGUAGGCGGCUUUAUAAGUCGGUGGUUAAAGGUAGCAGCUCAACUGUUUUACAUGCCAUCGAUACUGUAGAGCUUGAGUGAUCAGAAGGCGGGCGGAAUUUCUGGUGUAGCGGUGAAAUGCAUAGAUACCAGGAGGAACACCAAUUGCGAAGGCAGCUCGCUGCAAAUCAACUGACGCUGAUGCACGAAAGCGUGGGGAUCAAACAGG